CCUACGGGUGGCAGCAGUGAGGAAUAUUGGUCAAUGGGCGCGAGCCUGAACCAGCCAAGUAGCGUGAAGGAUGACUGCCCUACGGGUUGUAAACUUCUUUUAUAAAGGAAUAAAGUGAGGCACGUGUGCCUGUUGGUAUGUACUUUAUGAAUAAGGAUCGGCUAACUCCGUGCCAGCAGCCGCGGUAAUACGGAGGAUCCGAGCGUUAUCCGGAUUUAUUGGGUUUAAAGGGUGCGUAGAGGGGAGUGUAAAUCUGGGGGGAAAGGGGGGGGCUCAACCCCCGGACGGCCGUUGAAACUGGCAGGCUUGAGUGCAGGAGAGGUAGGUGGAAUUCGUGGUGUAGCGGUGAAAUGCGUAGAUAUUAGGAGGAACACCAGUGGCGAAGGCAGCUUACUGGACUGUAACUGACGUUGAGGCACGAAAGCGUGGGGAGCAAACAGGAUUAGAUACCCCUGUAGUC
rnacentral:rRNA from 1 species